AGCAGUAUGGUGUAAUCAUGCACACGGGCUUCCUAUGUGAUGGGCCGAAACAAAAUAUGAGUUCCCGAGGUCCUUGUUCGAGUCAAGGUGCUGCUC